rnacentral:ncRNA from 1 species
AGAGGUGCCUGUGUUCUCCGCAGGAUAACAGGGAAAAGGGUGCAAAUCCCUUACGGUCCCGCCGCUGUAUUGGCUAAGCGGUCUUACAGAUGCCACUGGGAAACCGGGAAGGCGUAGGAGAGCUGGGAAGCCUGAGUCAGAAGACCUGCCCUUCAUU